AACGAACGCUGGCGGCGUGCUUAACACAUGCAAGUCGAACGCGAACGGGUUCUUCGGGACCUUAGUAGAGUGGCGCACGGGUGAGUAACGCGUAAGUUAUCUACCUCGGCAUCUGGAAUAACUCACCGAAAGGUGUGCUAAUACCGGAUACGUUGAGUAAUCAAGAAAGGUGGCCUCUCUUUGAUGCUACCGUGCUGAGAUGAGCUUGCGUACCAUUAGCUAGUUGGUGGGGUAAUGGCCUACCAAGGCGACGAUGGUUAGCGGGUCUGAGAGGAUGAUCCGCCACACUGGAACUGGAACACGGACCAGACUCCUACGGGAGGCAGCAGUGAGGAAUAUUGCGCAAUGGGGGCAACCCUGACGCAGCGACGCCGCGUGGAUGAUGAAGGCCUUCGGGUCGUAAAAUCCUGUCAGGUGGAAAGAAAUGUAUAUGUGCUAAUAUCGCCUGUAUUUGACGGUACCAUCAAAGGAAGCACCGGCUAACUCCGUGCCAGCCGCCGCAGUAACAC
rnacentral:rRNA from 1 species